AUCUGACGUGCAUGCGAAGUACAGGAUCUGCAUAUCUAGGCCUCCGUAAAGAUUUAUAUCAGAUAAUUUGGGAUUUGAUCUCUGAUUCUACUAUGAUUCAGGUAAGAAUUUGAUCCUUAAACAAGUAGAAUAUUAGAGAAAAGUUUUAGAUGCAAACUGGGCAUUCUGGAGGAAAACUGUUUCCUUCCCUUCUAUUUACAUAUUGUCACAAUCUGUUAGUGUAAUGUAC
rnacentral:lncRNA from 1 species